rnacentral:rRNA from 1 species
GAUUAUGGCUCAGGAUGAACGCUGGCGGCGUGCCUAACACAUGCAAGUCGAACGGGGUUACUGGCAGCGGAGAUUCGGUCAAAGCAGCCUUUAACCUAGUGGCGGACGGGUGAGUAACGCGUGGGGAACCUGCCCUGUACUGGGGGAUAACAGUGAGAAAUCACUGCUAAUACCGCAUAAGCGCACAGCAUCGCAUGAUGCAGUGUGAAAAAACUGAGGUGGUACAGGAUGGCUCCGCGUUGGAUUAGCCAGUUGGCGGGGUAACGGCCCACCAAAGCGACGAUCCAUAGCCGGCCUGAGAGGGUGAACGGCCACAUUGGGACUGAGACACGGCCCAGACUCCUACGGGAGGCAGCAGUGGGGAAUAUUGCACAAUGGGGGAAACCCUGAUGCAGCCGACGCCGCGUGAAGGAAGAAGUAUCUCGGUAUGUAAACUUCUAUCAGCAGGGAAGAUGUAUGACGGUACCUGACUAAGAAGCCCCGGCUAACUACGUGCCAGCAGCCGC